rnacentral:rRNA from 1 species
ACAGGUGGGGCGGCUUACCAUGCAGUCGAGCGGAGAUGAGGUGCUUGCACCUUAUCUUAGCGGCGGACGGGUGAGUAAUGCUUAGGAAUCUGCCUAUUAGUGGGGGACAACAUUCCGAAAGGAAUGCUAAUACCGCAUACGCCCUACGGGGGAAAGCAGGGGAUCUUCGGACCUUGCGCUAAUAGAUGAGCCUAAGUCGGAUUAGCUAGUUGGUGGGGUAAAGGCCUACCAAGGCGACGAUCUGUAGCGGGUCUGAGAGGAUGAUCCGCCACACUGGGACUGAGACACGGCCCAGACUCCUACGGGAGGCAGCAGUGGGGAAUAUUGGACAAUGGGCGGAAGCCUGAUCCAGCCAUGCCGCGUGUGUGAAGAAGGCCUUUUGGUUGUAAAGCACUUUAAGCGAGGAGGAGGCUACUUAGAUUAAUACUCUAGGAUAGUGGACGUUACUCGCAGAAUAAGCACCGGCUAACUCUGUGCCAGCAGCCGCGGUAAUACAGAGGGUGCGAGCGUUAAUCGGAUUUACUGGGCGUAAAGCGUGCGUAGGCGGCUGAUUAAGUCGGAUGUGAAAUCCCUGAGCUUAACUUAGGAAUUGCAUUCGAUACUGGUCAGCUAGAGUAUGGGAGAGGAUGGUAGAAUUCCAGGUGUAGCGGUGAAAUGCGUAGAGAUCUGGAGGAAUACCGAUGGCGAAGGCAGCCAUCUGGCCUAAUACUGACGCUGAGGUACGAAAGCAUGGGGAGCAAACAGGAUUAGAUACCCUGGUAGUCCAUGCCGUAAACGAUGUCUACUAGCCGUUGGGGCCUUUGAGGCUUUAGUGGCGCAGCUAACGCGAUAAGUAGACCGCCUGGGGAGUACGGUCGCAAGACUAAACUCAAAUGAAUUGACGGGGGCCCGCACAAGCGGUGGAGCAUGUGGUUUAAUUUCGAUGCACGCGAAGAACCUUACCUGGCCUUGACAUAGUAAGAAACUUUCCAGAGAUGGAAUGGUGCCUUCGGGGAACUUACAUACAGGUGCUGCAUGGCUGUCGUCAGCUCGUGUCGUGAGAAUGUGGGUUAAGUCCCGCAACGAGCCGCCACCCUUUUUCCUUAUUUUGCCAGCGAGGUAGAUGUCGG